AGUAUUCAGACUGCUGUCUCGAAUCUGUCC
rnacentral:piRNA from 1 species